GAUGAAGAACGCAGCGAAAUGCGAUAAGUAAUGUGAAUUGCAGAAUUCAGUGAAUCAUCGAAUCUUUGAACGCACAUUGCGCCCGCCAGUAUUCUGGCGGGCAUGCCUGUUCGAGCGUCAUUUCAACCCUCAAGCCCCCGGGCUUGGUGUUGGGGAUCGGCGUGCCCUCGCGGCGCGCCGUCCCCUAAAUCUAGUGGCGGUCUCGCUGUAGCUUCCUCUGCGUAGUAGCAACACUCGCACUGGAUCGCAGCGUGGCCACGCCGUUAAACCCCCCACUUCUGAAAGUUUGACCUCGGAUCAGGUAGGAAUACCCGCUGAACUUAAGCAUAUCAAUAAGCGGAGGA
rnacentral:misc_RNA from 1 species